rnacentral:lncRNA from 1 species
ACGGAACCGCGCCCGAACGGCGCAAGCCCCCCCCGCCGCCCAGCCCGAAGAGGCGUUGGCUCCCGGGAUGGAUACCGUCCCCGGGGAAGCGACGGACGACGCCGGGGGGCAACGGGGGGAACGACGACGCGAGGGACGGAAACGGCGACGGCCGCGGCGGCGGCGCACGACGUCACGAGUGGGCGAGCGCGGGACCGACGGAGCGGAAGGGGUGGAUCGUCGCCGGUCGAGCGCUCGCGGCGGUUGCCGUCGCGAGCCACGCGUGGGAGGCGAUCGGUCCGCCGCCGCCGCCGUCGCUGCCGCACCUGCACGCGCUCGCGUUCACCGAGCUCGGGUUUGUGGGGUUCCUCGGGGUGUACGCGUACUGCUACGUCAGGCUGUGGGCGUGCGCGCGCGACGUCGGGGCGGGGAAGCUGAAGGCAAACUGACGCUCAGCCGCGCGUGAGCUUAACAAUUCUGUAAAAUAGACCAAUUUGCCUUUGCAGCAACAUCUGGUCGGCAUGCCUUGCAGCCGGACGCACGAACUGACGAACAGACGAACAGACGAAGGGUGGUGACGCGGUGUUUCCGACCCAAAAGCCGUUUUCCCCACACGACCGACUUGAACCCGCAGUUCGCCGGUCGCGCCCGACUUCCAGGCGCACGCGACCGACGUCGAACGUCGAACACGCGCUCGCACGCCAGAUCCGGGCGCAUUCUUACGUAACGCCAUCUCCGGCUCUCCGUCCGCGUACCGAUACGCCGCGAGGUCGCCAUCUUCGCGGCGCGACGUGCGGAUCCGCGAAAGGACCAGAGAUGUUGCCCUUGUCGGUCACGCCGACUUUGGCGCCCGACGAAGCCGACGACACCGCGAUUUGUGCGCGCAAAUCGCUCGCGGGAACCUCGCGGCGCGAAUAUCGACCCGAAACAUCGCCUCCCGCGGCUCGUGACCGCCGGGGUCGCCUCCGCUGCGAUGGACCGGGAACGGGGUGGGGAUCCUGCGGCGGUCGGUCGUCUUCGUCGCGAUUCCAUUCGCGCUGGACGCGCGCGUCGCUCGUCGUCCUGGCGCUCCUGGCGUUGAUCGUCGCGCCGGGGACGCGCUUCGCGGCCGCGACAGGCCCGGAGUCCGAUCUCGCGCCCGUCAGGGGCCUUCGUAGACUGGCGCAGACGACGAACGUUGGUGGUGUCGAGUACCUGCAACGCGCCAAGCUGAACGCGACCGACGGCGCUGAGGAUGACCAGUUCGGCAAAAGCGUGUCGAUCGACGGCGACACGAUGGUGAUCGGGGCUUAUUUUGACGACGACAAGGGAGACAUCAGCGGAUCCGCGUACGUGUUCACGCGCAACACACCCGGCGAUCUCGCCUCCGGCUGGACGCAGGUUGCCAAGCUGACCGCGGCCGACGGCGCUGCGAAUGACCAGUUCGGCCGGAGCGUGUCGAUUGACGGCGACACGGUGGUGAUCGGGGCUUAUAUUGACGACGACGAUGGAACCAGCAGCGGGUCGGCGUACGUGUUCACGCGCGUCACGGCCGGCGACCUCGCCUCCGGCUGGGCGCAGGUUGCCAAGCUGACCGCGGGGGACGGCGCUGCGGGUGACUGGUUCGGCUCCAGCGUGUCGAUUGACAGCGACACGGUGGUGAUCGGGGCGUAUGGGGACGACGACGAUGGAUCCGGCAGCGGGUCCGCGUACGUGUUCGCGCGCGACACGACCGGCGACCUCGCCUCCAACUGGACGCAGGUUGCAAAACUGACCCUGAACGUAUAUGCUGAGUUUGACUACUUCGGCUACAGCGUGUCGAUCGACGGCGACACGGUGGUGAUCGGGGCGUAUAGGGACGACGACAAAGGAACCAACAGCGGGUCCGCGUACGUGUUCACGCGCGACACGACCGGCGACCUCGCCUCCAACUGGACGCAGGUUGCCAAGCUGACCGCGGUGGACGACGACGCUAUUUAUGCCCACGACCACUUCGGCUACAGCGUGUCGAUCGACGGCGACACGGUGGUGAUCGGGGCGUAUCAGGACGACGACAAGGGAUCCAACAGCGGGUCCGCGUACGUGUUUACGCGCGUCACGGCAGGCGACCUCGCCUCCCGCUGGACGCAGGUUGCCAAGCUGACCGCGGGGGACGACGGCGCUGGGGAAGACAACUUCGGCCGGAGCGUUUCGAUUGACGGCGACACGGUGGUGAUCGGGGCACAGUAUGACGACGACAAGGGACCCGGCAGCGGGUCCGCGUACGUGUUCAGGCGCGACACGCCCGGUUACCUCGCCUCCGGCUGGGCGCAGGUUGCCAAGCUGACUGCGGAUGACGGCGCUGGGGGUGACAACUUCGGCUUGAGCGUGUCGAUUGACGGUGACACCAUCGCGAUCGGGGCGAUUGGGGACGACGACAAGGGAUCCGCCAGCGGGUCAGCGCACGUGUUCUCCGCAUACUUUUUUCCUUGCGACGCGUCUUCACCCCCAGCCAACGGCGCCGUCGGCGACUGCACCUCAGUGCUCGAGAGCGGGUCCACGUGCCAGCCCACGUGCGACCAGGGGUACGCCGUUUCCGGGCCCAGCGUGUGCGAUGACGGCUAUUUUUUGCCCGCGGUCUGUAACAUGUUUCCGCAGCUCGCUAAGCUGACCGCGGACGACGGCGCGGCGGAUGACCGAUUCGGCAACAGCGUGUCGAUCGACGGCGACACGAUGGUCAUCGGGGCACAGCAUGACGACGAUAAGGGAGACAGGAGCGGGUCCGCGUACGUGUUCACCCGCGACACACCCUCCAACUGGGCGAAGGUUGCCAAGCUGACCGCGGGCGACGGCGCUGCGAGUGACUACUUCGGCAACAGCGUGUCGAUCAAUGGCGACACGAUGGUCAUCGGGGCACAGUAUGACGACGACAAGGGAGAUAACAGCGGGUCGGCGUACGUGUUCACGCGCGACAAACCCGGCGACCUCGCCUCCGGCUGGACGCAGGUUGCCAAGCUGACCGCGGACGACGGCGCUGCGAGUGACAGGUUCGGCCGGAGCGUGUCGAUCGACGGCGACACGGUGGUGAUCGGGGCAUCGCAUGACCGAUUCGGGUCCGCGACCAUGGGGUCCGCGUACGUAUUCACGCGCAACACGGCCGGCAACCUCGCCUCCGGCUGGACGCAGGUUAACAAGCUGACCGCGAGCGACCGCGCUAAGGAUGACUGGUUCGGCUCCAGCGUGUCGAUCGACGGCGACACGGUGGUGAUCGGGGCGGAUGGGGACGACGACGAUGGAUCCAGCAGCGGGUCGGCGUACGUGUUCACGCGCGACACACCCGGCGACCUCGCCUCCCGCUGGACGCAGGUUGCCAAGCUGACCGCGGACGACGGCGCUAAUGGUGACUGGUUCGGCGGGAGCGUGUCGAUCGACGGUGACACGGUGGUGAUAGGGGCGCAUGGGGACGACGACAAGGGAACCGACAGCGGGUCCGCGUACGUGUUCAGGCGCAUCACGACCGGCGAACUCACCUCCGGCUGGACGCAGGUUGCCAAGCUGACCGCGGUGGACGACGGCGCUGCGAGUGACUGGUUCGGCGGGAGCGUGUCGAUUGACGGCGACACGAUGGUGAUCGGGGCGAUUGGGGACGACGACAAGGGACCCGGCAGCGGGUCCGCGUACGUGUUCAGGCGCAUCACGGCCGGUGACACCACCUCCGGCUGGACGCAGGUUGACAAGCUGACCGCGGUGAAUGACGGUGCUGCCGAUGACUGGUUCGGCGGGAGCGUGUCGAUUGACGGCGACACGAUGGUGAUCGGGGCGAUUGGGGACGACGACAAGGGAUUCCUCAGCGGGUCCGCGUACGUGUUCUCCAAAUACGUUCCUCCUUGCGACGCGUCAUCACCCCCAGCCAACGGCACCGUCGGCGACUGCACCUCAGAGCUCGCGAGCGGGUCCACGUGCCAGCCCACGUGCGACCAGGGAUACGCCGUGUCCGGGCCCAGCGUGUGCGAGAACAGCGUCCUGUCGCCCGCGAUCUGCAUCCCUUUUUGCAACGCGUCCACGCCCCCAGCCAACGGCGCCGUCGGCAACUGCACGGACCAGCUCUUGAGCGGCACCGCGUGUCAGCCCGCGUGCGACCCGGGGUAUUUCGCACCCGAACCCAGCGUUUGCGAUGACGGCAUCCUCACGCCCGCGGUCUGCGUCAGGUACUGCGACGCAUCCGCGCCGCCCGCCAACGGCGGAGUGGGCGACUGCGUGGAGUACCUGUCGAGCGGUACGACGUGCCAGCCCACGUGCGACGAGGGAUACAUCGUGUCCGGGAAGACGUCGUGCGACGCCGCGGGCACGCUGACGGCGGCGGACUGCAGGGAGCUCAGCUGCUGCGAGCAAACGUUCGCUAAGUUCGGGUUUGGAGUGGCGUACAGCUACGGCGACGAGCUGUGAGAGACGGGGGGGGGGUUUGACAAAGAUGCAUCCUGUAAGUGUUAUAUAAACUGCCGUUCUUUUCGUGGAGCGCGGGGACCCUCCGCAACCUCCCCAUCUUUGAGAACCAUGAUGCAGUCGCUGUCCAUGAUUGUCGACAGUCGGUGCGCAAUCACGUCACGAGGUUAAUCCGCCCCUUAGCCGCCUCGUUGAUGCUCAAGAUGAUCUCCUUCUCCGUGUGCGUAUCCGGCGAGGAGGUGGCCUCGUUGCGUUCACAAUUUUGGUGCGCGACGUCUCCAAUCGUCAAGUGGCGAACACUCUUGUCGAUUCCAAACGCCGCCAAGCUCUCGGCGGCGGUCACGGCCUGCGCGAUGGCCCCGGCGAUGUACGCGCAGAUCGCAGCCCCGAGCCCCGAGGGGUUCCUGUGGUGCAUGGCGUGCGUCUCGAUGUCCUUCUUCCUCUUCUCGUUUCAGGUGCACGAGAAAUCCGCGCUGCUCCCGGCGCUGCCCGUCUCGAUGCUGUGCCUGAGGGCGACGGGGCUGGCGACGCUCGCGCCCGUGCUCGUCUGCGUCAGCAUGUGGCCGCUGCUGCGAAGGGACGGCCUCGGGGUGGCGUACGUCGGGUGCGUGGUCAUGUUCGUCGCCCUGUUCGGCGACGGAACCGCGCCCGAACGGCGCAAGCCCCCCCCGCCGCCCAGCCCGAAGAGGCGUUGGCUCCCGGGAUGGAUACCGUCCCCGGGGAAGCGACGGACGACGCCGGGGGGCGACGGGGGGAACGACGACGCGAGGGACGGAAACGGCGGCGGCGGCGGCGCACGACGUCACGAGUGGGCGGGCGCGGGACCGACGGAGCGGAGGGGGUGGAUCGUCGCCGGUCGAGCGCUCGCGGCGGUUGCCGUCGCGAGCCACGCGUGGGAGGCGAUCGGUCCGCCGCCGCCGCCGUCGCUGCCGCACCUGCACGCGCUCGCGUUCACCGAGCUCGGGUUUGUGGGGUUCCUCGGGGUGUACGCGUACUGCUACGUCAGGCUGUGGGCGUGCGCGCGCGACGUCGGGGCGGGGAAGCUGAAGGCAAACUGACGCUCAGCCGCGCGUGAGCUUAACAAUUCUGUAAAAUAGAC